UACAGAGGGUGCAAGCGUUGUUCGGAAUUACUGGGCGUAAAGCGCGCGUAGGCGGCUUUGUAAGUUAGAGGUGAAAGCCCGGGGCUCAACCCCGGAAUUGCCUUUAAGACUGCAUCGCUUGAAUCCGGGAGAGGUGAGUGGAAUUCCGAGUGUAGAGGUGAAAUUCGUAGAUAUUCGGAAGAACACCAGUGGCGAAGGCGGCUCACUGGACCGGCAUUGACGCUGAGGUGCGAAAGCGUGGGGAGCAAACAGG
rnacentral:rRNA from 1 species